GUAAAAAUAAGAUUUUGCCGAAUAUAUUCAUAUAGAUGAAUCUGUUAUGAAACAGAAA
rnacentral:ncRNA from 1 species